rnacentral:lncRNA from 1 species
AGCCGGAGUCAGGGGGAUUUUCCAACUGCCAAAGGACUCCUGGAUAUUUUGUUUUGUUUUGUUUUUCCCUAGGAGGAGGUUGGUGUUUCUCUUCCCUGGAACACUGAAAAAACCUAGAGGCAGGUGAAGGAAAAGAACAGCAGGGAGAAGAAAAACAAAAAUAAAAAACAGCAACAACCCAUAUUCUCAUCUACCCAGAAAAAAAGACAAGAUUCACCUAGACAGGAAACAGCUUAAUGGAGUUUUCUUGGAUGACUUUACUACCAAAGAUGACUCCAGCAUAUUGACUAAACAAAGACUGUGAAUCAUAGUCCAAAUAGAUUUGGUGGAAAUUAAUUCAUUAAUAUUCAACAUUAAUUAAUGUUCCAUAGAUAUGAGACAUAUUUUGCUGAUUUUUAAAAUAAAACAUAGUCCUAAAGAAUCCCA